AACCCAGAGGGGCUGUUAGACCAUCAAGCACCUCCUCCCUGCACGGGUGGACACCAGUUUACACAGUGCCGGGAUGCCCAGAUGGAAAUUUAUGGUGUGCAGGGAAGAACUUCUCACCCAGGUUCCAGCCAGCCGGGUGAGAGAACAAUAUUUCCCAUCGAGGGGACGUGCAAAAGCUCUUAACAAAUCGAUGGGCUGCAUUUAGUCAAUAAACCACAGUGCUUUCCAGGGAGGCAGGAGCCCUCCUCCCCCAGUUGUCCCUGGGGCCCCUCAGGCUUCGCCGAGGGUGGGGGUACGGCCGGGCGGGUGGACGCCAAGGAAGCUGGGGAGCCUGGGUCUUAUGUCCCCACCCAUAGCUCCUGGCCUCAGGGCAUCCUCCUGCCCUGGGGUGUGGGAAGGACAGCGGCUUCCCCAGCGGCGGACGCAGGGGCAGCAUUGUCGGUGGUGCCAGAUGGAGGUUUGGGGCUCACAUCUUGCCUUCCAGCUGGGGAGCCCAGGUGCAGCCACCUCUGCCCCCCCAGCCCUGCCUUCCUGGCCACGGUAGCAACCUCUCUGGGGUCCCCAGCACAGCCGCUCCCUGCUUGCCUGCACCUCCCUCCCCAGAUCCCCGCUGAGCCUGGCCCUGCCCCUCCAGCGCUGGGCACCUCUCACUCCUUUCCAGGGACCCCCAGGCCAUGGCACAGUGUCGCCUGGGGACACACGUGGUGCGUGUGGCUUUUCAGCUGCUCAACACUCACUUCUGAGGCCCCCGCGGCGUGGCACGGCCUGGGCGUUGGAUGCAGCAGUGAACGGGACCCACGCGGGGACUCAGGGACUGGCCCCCACCACGCCUGGGCAACUGGUGUCCUCGGCAGAUCUUCCCAGCAGACAGGACUCGGUGAAGCCUGCGGGGCCACAGGACCAGCCUACUCACUGCCCAGCCCUCAGGCCGGGGGAUGGAAUCAGGGCCCUCUUUGGACAUCUGGGGCCACGCCUGCCACCCUCAGGGGCCCAGGGCAGACAGGUGGGGUCUGUGUGGGCAGCACCCCUACCCCAGCGGGCAGAGUCCCCAGGACGUCCAGGGAAGCUUCCUUCUCACCGUGCCAGGCCCGGUGUCUGACUGAUGAGAAAACCAAGACACAGCCCUGACUCCCCAGCCCAGGCCCUUUCUCAGGCCCCUUUCCAGGCCUCUGCCGUGGGAGGUGCACCUCGUCUCCCCCACAUCCCGGCUCAGCCCCCCGGGGGCCGCAGCCCCCCUGCCCACCAGGCUGGUGCCAGGGAGUGCUGGCUCCUGGAAACCCGGAGAAAGCAGACAACUCGUCCGCGUUGUCCUGGAGAUGCAGCCGACAUCGGCCUGCUUGUCCUGCUGCCAGGGCCGCUGGGGGCCCCAUCGAUGUCCACCCGGCCAGACACAGCUCCCGUCAUUCAAUAUGGCAAAGUGUGGUGGUGCUGGCUCCGCAGACCCCACUGUGGAGGCGAAAGACCACCGAAGCCCUGCGGGAUUUUCACAUCCAGGCAGUGAAUGGAGAUGACACACUUUGCACUGAACAUGUACUGUAGUUUCUGCCCAUCCCUUGAGCCUCAGAACGUCCUGGGGUGAAGCACAGCCCCUACUCUUGCUGCCCUGGUAGAAGACGAGGCCCAGAGAGGGGCAGGGCCCGCCCAAGGCUGCACACAGAAUCUCUGCCCCCAACACCUACAGCCCCUGCCCUCCUUCUGAGGCUGUGGAAACGGAGUCACAGGGAGGUGGAGUCAGGCAGGAGAUGUAUCCAGGCUUCCUGACUGCCCGCUCCCUCUUCACGUUGCUUCUCCUGCCAUCCGGUGCCCAGCGAGGCUCUGAGAAGCCGGGACACUCUGCCCAGGGACUGCCUCCCUGGCCCGGACCCUGGGGGCUGCGGGGACCUCCGGCGGGUCCCGGGCUGGGCUUCCCCGUCCCACCAUCCAGCUGCCCCAGGAUGAGCAAGGCUGGCCCAGCAUCUCUGAGUGAGUGGGGAAGGGAGGGGAAAGCCAAAACUUUAAGGUAUAUGAACUGUGAAAUUAAAUCGAAAUACUCAAAUAAGGAAUCACAUAACAACAUAAGCAAAGAUGUUUACCAGAGCUUGAAGUUAAAUACAGAUUUUUUCAUAAACCCAAACACAAAACACAAUAAAGUUCUGUGGGAUGUUAAAUAUAAUUUACAGUGGGAAGGAUGCUCCUCGCCGUC
rnacentral:lncRNA from 1 species